rnacentral:pre_miRNA from 1 species
UUAGUACUCCCUCCGUCCCAAAAUUCUUGUCUUAAAUUUGUCUAAAUACGGAUGUAUCUAGUUACAUUUUAGUGCUAGAUACAUCCGUAUCUAAACAAAUGUAAGACAAGAGUUUUGGGACGGAGGGAAUACUAC